rnacentral:misc_RNA from 1 species
CGAUUCGUCUGCUUUGAUCAUCUCACUUUCUGGGUUGGAAAUGCCAAGCAGGCAGCCUCCUACUACUGCACUCGGGUGGGUUUUGAACCUUUUGCCUACAAAGGACUGGAGACGGGCAGCAGACAAGUGGUGUCCCAUGCAGUCAAACAGAACAAGAUGAUCUUCAACUUCCAGUCCGCCCUGGAACCAGACAACCCUAAAGAGAUAGGAGAACACCUUGUAAAACAUGGUGAUGGGGUCAAGGACAUUGCAUUUGAAGUGGAGGAUUUACAAGCUAUCUUCAAGAGAGCAGUUGCUAAAGGAGCUAUAGUUGUGAAGGAGCCUUGGGAAGAGUCUGAUGAUAGUGGAACCGUCAAAAUGGCUAUGAUAAAGACAUACGGAGACACAACACACACACUGAUUGACCGGUCUGGAUACAAAGGCCUGUUCCUACCUGGAUACAGGGCUUCAACAUUCAAAGACCCCCUUGUUGAACUGUUACCCAAACCAAAUCUUCAAUUUAUUGACCACGUUGUGGGGAACCAGCCAGACAAUGAAAUGACCAGUAUUGCCGACUGGUAUGAGAAGAACCUGAUGUUUCAUCGUUUCUGGUCCGUGGAUGACUCACAAAUCCACACGGAGUACUCUGCGCUUCGCUCCAUCGUGGUUACUAACUUUGAAGAAACCAUUAAGAUGCCAAUAAACGAACCGGCACCAGGAAAAAGGAAAAGUCAGAUACAGGAAUUUGUGGAUUACUAUGGUGGAGCUGGAGUUCAACACAUCGCCAUGAAUACCAAUGACAUCAUCCAAACAGUUUCACUUCUCCGAGAAAGAGGCCUUCAAUUUUUGGAAAUCCCCAGCACUUACUACAAAAACCUGAGAGAGAGGUUAAAGAAGUCCAAAGUAAAAGUUACCGAAGACUUGGACAAGAUUCAGAAACUUCACAUCCUGAUUGACUAUGAUGACGAUGGCUACCUGCUGCAGAUCUUCACCAAAAUCAUGCAGGACAGACCAACACUUUUCCUUGAGGUCAUCCAGAGACACAAUCACCAGGGUUUCGGUGCUGGAAAUUUCAAGUCCUUGUUUGAAGCUAUCGAGUUGGACCAGGCUGAACGUGGGAAUCUGUAAUGCCGCUUACAGUCUGAUGUUUAAGAGGCCUUUGUUAGAAUGCAGCAUAGUCAGUCUCCAUGUGCAUUUGAACACUGGUUUUUAUAGAAUCUCAUUACAUUCUGUACAUAUACAAAUACUCCAGUGGGUUGAAUUUGUUCUCUGAUUCUGAUUUACGCUCUUUGCUUUAUUUCUAUGAAAUUGUCCAAGGACAGUUUAUGCAGUCCUAGGGACUAUUGAAUCCAAUUAGUAUUUUAGAGGUUUAUCUUGGAGAAUUUUAGUAUUCAACUUAUUUAGUAUAAGACCACUAGUCAGGGGACAUUGGUGAAUCAUUUUCUAAAGACAUUCACAUAGCCACCUAUGUGUUGAUGAUUGGAAUCUAUUAAAUUUUCAUAAAUUUUUUUGAAAUUUAUGCAUUUUUUUUAAUCUAUUUUUUUACAUACACAUAUUGUACUGAACAUCUUUAAUGUUUUUAAGAGUUGAAUUAUUCAUUGAUUAAAGAUUUUCAGAAACUAUAUCUUUCUAUAGCUAUUCCUUUUGUCUGUAUUGAUGCACCCUUCACAAAUCAUUGAGUGUAAAAACUUGAAAGGAUGUACCAAUUUAAAUAGCGGCGUGCUGCCUUAUGUACAGAAAUGCCUGAAGAGGAUUAAUGAAUGAAAUAGAGAGGUACCUCGUUUCUAAAGCAAACUAAAAACUUCUGUUUACAGUGAGAAUAGUUUAUUAACAGAUAAACAUUUUCAACUUGUUGCUUUUAAAAUCAUGAGCUUGAUUCCCUUUUUUCAUCAUGUUCAUUUUGUAGUACACAUGUAUAGAUGUACUAAAAAUCAAUUUAUUGAUAUCGAAAUGAUUUUUUUUCCAAACAAACGGAAAAAUUCAGAUCUCUAGUGGUGUAUAUUUUGACGUUGAAAUAAAAAAUAUUCC